rnacentral:pre_miRNA from 1 species
UCUUUGGUAUCCUAGCUGUAGGUUGUAUUAGCUGCUCCUAAAGCUAUUGUACCAAAGUAA